GAUGAACGCUAGCGGCAGGCUUAAUACAUGCAAGUCGAGGGGCAGCAUGAUUGUAGCAAUACAAUUGAUGGCGACCGGCAAACGGGUGCGGAACACGUACACAACCUUCCAACAAGUGGGGGAUAGCCCAGAGAAAUUUGGAUUAAUACCCCGUAACAUAGCGAUGUGGCAUCACAUUGCUAUUAUAGAUUUUUCGCUUGUUGAUGGGUGUGCGGCUGAUUAGAGUAGUUGGCGGGGUAACGGCCCACCAAGUCUACGAUCAGUAGCUGAUGUGAGAGCAUGAUCAGCCACACGGGCACUGAGACACGGGCCCGACUCCUGCGGGAGGCAGCAGUAAGGAAUAUUGGACAAUGGACGCAAGUCUGAUCCAGCCAUGCCGCGUGAAGGAUUAAGGUCCUCUGGAUUGUAAACUUCUUUUAUAAGGGACGAAGCCACUCGGGUUAACAGCCCAGAGGGUGACGGUACCUCCAGAAUAAGCCCCGGCUAACUACGUGCCAGCCGCCGCCGUAACAC
rnacentral:rRNA from 1 species